UCAGUACAUAGUUCAUCAAUCAUUAGUCAUCACAAAACAGCAACACACAUCAGUCCAUUAGUACAGUACUUAGUUCAAUCAUAAAAUAGCUACUUGCAUUUGAUGAUUCCAUCAUAAAUCUGCAGCACAAAAGAAAUCAAAUCAAUGGUUUAGACUCGUCGGCUCGUCGCUGGGCUGCUGGCUGCUGCCGCUGGGCUGCUGGCUGCUGUCGAGUCGCAGAGGCGAGGCGUCGUCGGCUCAUCGGUGUGGCUGUGGCGUCGUCGUCAGUGGUGGUAGCGGCGGCGAAACGGCGGGACGGCGCUGCCGCCGCGAGACGGCGCCACGAAACGGCUGGACAGCGCCGCGAGAUGGCGGCGGUACGAGACAGCGAAGAUGGUGGGGGCGAGGUCGCGAGGAGCCGAGGACGGCGGACCAGCGGUGGCGCGGGGCGCUGGCGGUGGGUGGAGCGUGAUGCUCCGCCACCGCUCGCGCUACACUUACGGGCUGAGCCGAAGAGAGGUAGGCUAGGCACAGGACUGUUCGAGCUGGGCCUACAGCUUCACUUGCGGGCUGAGCCAAAGAGAGGUAGGGCAGGCACAGGACUGUUUGAGCUGGUCAAUUACCGGAUUUGGUGGGAGGAUCGGCUCCGUCAUGCGGGCACGAGACUGUUCGAGAUGUUACGGGCUGAGCCGAAGAGAAGGCCAGGCACAGGACUGUUCGAGCUGGGCCUACAGCUCCACUUGAGGGCUGAGCCAAAGAGAGGUAGGCCAGGCACAGGACUGUUCGAGCUGGGCCUACAGCUUCACUUGUGGGCUGAGCCGAAGGGAGAUAGGCCAAGCAAAGGACUGUUCGAGCUGGGCCUACAGCUCCACUUGUGGGCUGAGCCGAAGAGAGAGGCCAAGCAGAUAGAGGCAGCGGACUGCUCUAGGACUAAAUCUGAAAAUGAGGGAAAGAAUGAACGUUCGGUCCAAAAACAAGAAAGCAUUCGGUCUAAAAACAAUGGAGUAUAAUGUAUAGUAU
rnacentral:lncRNA from 1 species